UACGAAGGGGGCUAGCGUUGUUCGGAAUCACUGGGCGUAAAGCGCGCGUAGGCGGAUCGUUAAGUCAGGGGUGAAAUCCUGGAGCUCAACUCCAGAACUGCCUUUGAUACUGGCGACCUUGAGUUCGGGAGAGGUGAGUGGAACUGCGAGUGUAGAGGUGAAAUUCGUAGAUAUUCGCAAGAACACCAGUGGCGAAGGCGGCUCACUGGCCCGAUACUGACGCUGAGGUGCGAAAGCGUGGGAGCAACAGGA
rnacentral:rRNA from 1 species